AAUUCAUCAGAGGAAAGGAGGAAAAUUAAACCACCAGCAACAACAACAACAACAAAAAGAGCUCAAAAUUAAGAGAUCAAAACAUCCGAAAGAUGUCGAAUAAGCACGUUGCAUUGUUGUUGUUGGUGUGCCUCGCAGUUGCGGUAGCAGUUGAGGCGAGGUCGAAGCCUAAGCCUCUCCCCAAGAAAGACGGCAUUUACGGCAAGCCCUUGCCGCCCAAGAAUUAUCUUGUAAAUAACUGCCUCGGGGAUUGCCACAAGAGCUGCUCGCUGCCCAAAUUUGUAUGCAAUUACAAAUGUUGGGCCAAAUGCAAAUCACUCAUUCCCAAUGAUGUCAAAAAUGUUGUUAAUUAGCAAAGGACAAAGUUGAACAUGAAGAUGAGAAGAAGCAGAAGAAUAACCACGUAGCUAGGCAUCUAAGAAGGAGAAGACUGCCGUGGAGUCUAAGAAGAAUUAAGUUAUUAAUUAUUAGACAAAACAUGAUAGGAAGAUUAUACAAGGCAUUCUCAUCAACUAGGGACACAACUUUAACUUUGUGUCAAUGAAGACAUGUCAUUAUCCUCUUUCCCCACAUAUCAUAAUUAAUAAUAUUAUGGAAAUAUUAUCCGUA